rnacentral:lncRNA from 1 species
GAAACCUUCUUAGGGAAAGCAUUAUUUUAUCAACCUACCAGUGUCACAAGCUGCUAUGGCAACAGAAGAAGGGAGAUCCUCCUCUUUCGUAUUUCAGGGACUAACUAGCCCUUAGCAAUCAUGCUCUGAGCUGUUACAGUAGAAGAAAGGAUGCUGUAAGACUUACUAUAGGCCAGACUGGAAAUGGUGCUCACCCCAUAGGCUUGGGCACAGUCCUUGACUAAGUUAGGGAAUUUGCAAGAUGAUUGGCUCUUCAUUCAGCCAUCAGAAAAGAACUCUCUGAGUGAAUAUCCAUAGACCUUCGGUCAAGACCUGCAUAGCAGAUAUUAACAUAUAUCUACAUAUCGUAUAUUUACAUAUGAUAUCCUGCAGAUCAGAUAUUUACAUUACAAUUCAUAACAGUAGCAAAAUUACAGUUGUGAAGUAGUGAUGAAAUAAUUUUAUGAUUGGGGCUCACCACAACAUGAGGAACUAUAUUAAAGGGUCACAGCAUUAGGAAGAUUGAGAACCACUGCCAUCGACAGAGGGAGAUGGGAAAUAAGCUUAUCUUCAGGAUACCGUGCAAGUCCCUGAGUGUUAAAUAUAUAAACCAAUUCUACGUGUAUUUUUUUAAAGCAGAUAGGAAGGCUAGGUUCAGAGGUGACGCUGUUUGCCAUUGUUUGCAGUAUACAGGACAGUGUUCUCCUUUGCCUAGUAAGGUCUGAGCAUAGUAGGUGACUUCUGCCAGCAUGGCUUGUCUGUUAAGAAAGGACCUUCCUUUUUUGAGGGUCUUGCGGUGCUGUUCCUUGUAACCGCUGUGCCUUAGUGCAUGUGCAAGCAGUGAUUCAUGGAGUGUGCCUGCAUCCUGCCUCCCAGAGCUUUCUGAUGGGACCCUGCUAUCAGAGCUUUAAGGGUCAAAGCCUGCCCCGCCCCCAGCCCUAACAAGCUGGGCUUGGAUACUCAUCUUCAAUGGACCAAUUAAACAGACAAGCAACAAUGAAAAGCAGAUUCGUUCCGUGUGACCACACUGGCAAGAGGGACAAAUGAAGAGGCCCCUCUAUCCUCAGAGCCCUGACAGGAGGCUUAGGUUUAAAUGGGGGGCAAGAGAAAAACAUCACUAAGCACGCCUGGCCCAUCCUGAUACCACUACCCCUCAUUCUAACACCCUAUGAGAUUCCUGGGAAACUUGGAAUUCCUUCUGGGCCAUUGUAUCGGUGUCUCCAUAGUGUGAUAGCCAGAGGGAGACACACGAGCUCUUUUUAGAACGUCCUUCCAGGACCAUCAGUUUGGGAGCCUUAGCCCUCCACCAGUUAUUACAACAGUGACUGAUUUCUUCUCUGUCCGGCUGUUUUCCUUGUCAUGAAGGCAAGAGUGACAUUUGUCAAGCUCUUCACAUGUCUGACCAGAUGAAGUACAGGACAUCAUUGAUACUGCACCAAUAUUUGCCCCACAGGACGGCAACUGCAUUCGCUCAAGCAAAUGAAAGAAUAAUAGAGUUCAGCUAGUCCUGGGGGCGCAUACCUUUAAUCCAGCUAGGGCUAUAAAGUAAGAUGAUAUCCUAAAAUUUUAAAAUUAAAUU